GGCUGGUCCACGUGCAGUGGUGUUUACAACUAAUUGAUCACAACCAGUUACAGAUUCCUUUGUUCCUUCUCCACUCCCACUGCUUUACUAACUAGCCUUUU
rnacentral:Y_RNA from 1 species